GCUAUAGCUCAGCUGGAUAGAGCGUCAGAUUGCGGAUCUGAAGGUCGAAGGUUCGAAUCCUUUUAGCA
rnacentral:tRNA from 1 species